CGUAACAAGGUCUCCGUUGGUGAACCAGCGGAGGGAUCAUUACCGAGUUUACAACUCCCAAACCCCUGUGAACAUACCAAUUGUUGCCUCGGCGGAUCAGCCCGCUCCCGGUAAAACGGGACGGCCCGCCAGAGGACCCCUAAACUCUGUUUCUAUAUGUAACUUCUGAGUAAAACCAUAAAUAAAUCAAAACUUUCAACAACGGAUCUCUUGGUUCUGGCAUCGAUGAAGAACGCAGCAAAAUGCGAUAAGUAAUGUGAAUUGCAGAAUUCAGUGAAUCAUCGAAUCUUUGAACGCACAUUGCGCCCGCCAGUAUUCUGGCGGGCAUGCCUGUUCGAGCGUCAUUUCAACCCUCAAGCCCAGCUUGGUGUUGGGACUCGCGAGUCAAAUCGCGUUCCCCAAAUUGAUUGGCGGUCACGUCGAGCUUCCAUAGCGUAGUAGUAAAACCCUCGUUACUGGUAAUCGUCGCGGCCACGCCGUUAAACCCCAACUUCUGAAUGUUGACCUCGGAUCAGGUAGGAAUACCCGCUGAACUUAAGCAUAUCAGGAGCAAAAGAAACCAACAGGGAUUGCCCUAGUAACGGCGAGUGAAGCGGCAACAGCUCAAAUUUGAAAUCUGGCUCUCGGGCCCGAGUUGUAAUUUGUAGAGGAUACUUUUGAUGCGGUGCCUUCCGAGUUCCCUGGAACGGGACGCCAUAGAGGGUGAGAGCCCCGUCUGGUUGGAUGCCAAAUCUCUGUAAAGUUCCUUCGACGAGUCGAGUAGUUUGGGAAUGCUGCUCUAAAUGGGAGGUAUAUGUCUUCUAAAGCUAAAUACCGGCCAGAGACCGAUAGCGCACAAGUAGAGUGAUCGAAAGAUGAAAAGCACUUUGAAAAGAGAGUUAAAAAGUACGUGAAAUUGUUGAAAGGGAAGCGUUUAUGACCAGACUUGGGCUUGGUUAAUCAUCUGGGGUUCUCCCCAGUGCACUUUUCCAGUCCAGGCCAGCAUCAGUUUUCCCCGGGGGAUAAAGACUUCGGGAAUGUGGCUCUCUUCGGGGAGUGUUAUAGCCCGUUGUGUAAUACCCUGGGGGGGACUGAGGUUCGCGCAUCUGCAAGGAUGCUGGCGUAAUGGUCAUCAACGACCCGUCUUGAA
rnacentral:rRNA from 1 species